GGUUGGGUGGCACAUUGGGAAAAUGCACAUGUCUGAAGUAAGAUGAUCUGGGUUCAAAUCCCAGCUUAGCCA
rnacentral:tRNA from 1 species